UCCUGGCUCAGGAUGAACGCUAGCGAUAGGCCUAACACAUGCAAGUCAGGGGCAGCAUAGGGUAGCAAUACUUUGAUGGCGACCGGCGCACGGGUGAGUAACGCGUAUGCAACCUACCUAUAACAGGGGAAUAACCCGGAGAAAUUCGGACUAAUACCGCAUAAAACAGGGGCUCCGCAUGGAGAUAUUUGUUAAAGAUUUAUCGGUUAUAGAUGGGCAUGCGUUCCAUUAGCCAGUUGGUGAGGUAACGGCUCACCAAAGCAACGAUGGAUAGGGGAACUGAGAGGUUUGUCCCCCACACUGGAACUGAGACACGGACCAGACUCCUACGGGAGGCAGCAGUGAGGAAUAUUGGUCAAUGGGCGAGAGCCUGAACCAGCCAAAUCGCGUGAAGGAAGACUGCCUUAUGGGUUGUAAACUUCUUUUAUACAGGAAUAAAAAGAGUUACGUGUAACUUAUUGCAUGUACUGUAUGAAUAAGCAUCGGCUAACUCCGUG
rnacentral:rRNA from 1 species